GUUACAAUGGCAGGUACAGAGGGGUGCUACCGGGUGACCGGAUGCCGAUCUCGAAAACCUGUCCCAGUUCGGACUGGAGUCUGCAACCCGACUCCACGAAGUUGGAUUCGCUAGUAAUCGCGCAUCAGCCAUGGCGCGGUGAAUACGUUCCCGGGCCUUGUACACACCGCCCGUCAAGCCAUGGGAGCCGGGGGCGCCUGAAGUCCGGGACCGCGAGGACCGGCCUAGGGCGAAACCGGUGACUGGGGCUAAGUCGUAACAAGGUAAC
rnacentral:rRNA from 1 species